CCUCCUCGGGUCACGGCCUUUCAGCAGCAGCCUGCCGUUCAGUUUCAAUCUCUUCAAAAUCUGGACGAUGAGGCAUCACUUCCCACGGGUCUUCACAGCAAACAGUGCCACACAGGUGCAGAACUUCCCAAGCCAGCAACCUCUCCAUCAGACCCACUGAGUCGCUGCAAGGGAUGGCGAUGUCCACAGAGCACAGAGGAGUGCCUGUGUCACACAGAGCGAUGGUGGUCAGCCCUGGGAUCAGUAAACCAAAAGUCCUGGCUUCUGGAAAACUGCCUGGAUCUGGUCGGGGAAGGUUUCAGGAGUGAAACAGCCAGCAAUGGGGGUGGCUCCAGUAGCAGCAACAAACUUCAGCACAGCUCGCUGGCCAGUAUUCCUAGAUGUCAGGACACAGACAUCAGCAGGAUUUUCAACAGCAACGGUACAAGCUGCCAGAAAAAGCUUCUUCCAGGUUCUCUUCAGACUUGUGCUGUAGAUACCAUCACUUUUCCUUUUGUAGAUGUACUGUUCCUUUGGAAGCCAAGUUUUGAAUGCCACAGCACUGGAGCCAGAAAAGGUGGCAGACACUUGAGGAAGGAAAUCAACUUGACUAUUUGAAUGGCUUAUCACUGAAGGCAGUUAUUAUCUGGUUACUACUGGAAAAUGGAACCUACUAGAACAUGGCAUGUGAUGACAAAAUAGUUAAAUUUUAUUCUGUGGUAAUCUGGAAUAAAGAGUCAAUUAAGAUAACUUGUUGAAAGACCAAAUGUCAAAUGACUACUGCAAUAAAACGUAUUGAUGGAGAAAACUGUG